rnacentral:rRNA from 1 species
ACAUCCAGCGAACUUGGCAGAGAUGCCUUGGUGCCUUCGGGAACGCUGAGACAGGUGCUGCAUGGCUGUCGUCAGCUCGUGUUGUGAAAUGUUGGGUUAAGUCCCGNAACGAGCGCAACCCUUAUCCUUUGUUGCCAGCGAUCGGUCGGGAACUCAAAGGAGACUGCCGGUGAUAAACCGGAGGAAGGUGGGGAUGACGUCAAGUCAUCAUGGCCCUUACGAGUAGGGCUACACACGUGCUACAAUGGCGCAUACAAAGAGAAGCGACCUCGCGAGAGCAAGCGGACCUCAUAAAGUGCGUCGUAGUCCGGAUCGGAGUCUGCAACUCGACUCCGUGAAGUCGGAAUCGCUAGUAAUCGUGGAUCAGAAUGCCACGGUGAAUACGUUCCCGGGCCUUGUACACACCGCCCGUCACACCAUGGGAGUGGGUUGCAAAAGAAGUAGGUAGCUUAACCUUCGGGAGGGCGCUUACCACUUUGUGAUUCAUGACUGGGGUGAAGUCGUAACAAGGUAAGCGUAGCGAG